UACGUGUCAUCUUGCACAUGCGCAGAACGGAUUGUGCAGGUGGAACGGAUCGGGUACUGACACCCGCUUGGAAAGAACCAACGACAUUCCUCCUUGUCCUGCUGCGUGUUUUCUUCCCACGCCGUGUACAGCCUGAGCUCACUUGCCAUACCGGGAGUUACUGCAAGUUGGAGAAUGGAGGAGAAAACUCAGCAAAUGUUGCCACUGCCGCGGUUACUUUCCACCUCCCGCUCGUCUAAAAAGGCAAAGAAAAGAUGAAAAAAACGGUGACUAAAAGGCUGCAGAUAGAGGACAAACUAGAGUAGCUAAACAUUGGUAGCGUUUCAGCGAUGGAGACAGCUGGGUGUUAAAAGGCAUACAUAAGUGAAGCCGUCUUUCUGCAGGACAGGUCUGAGGAACUUUUACCUUCAGUGAGGAGUGGGAGGACUUUCUGCUGUUUGAGACUUCAGAGCCUCUAUCAGCUCAAAGUGAUGGACUUUGAGGAACACAGUGGGACAGCGAGGCUGAGUAGACUGGUUAUACUAUGGAUUGAGAAUGAACGAGAAGAGACGUUUGAUUGACACAGCAGAUUGUGGAGGACUUCGCGGGGCACUAGACUCACAGCAUGACAAUCAGACACGACAGAUGAACUGAUCCAGAAAACCAUACGGGACAAGUUCAGAGAAUGCACCGUCCUCACCAUCACUCAUCGUCUCAACACCAUCAUAGACAGCGACAGAAUACUUUUUACUUUUUUUAAAGCAUGGGGUUUACACUCAAGAUGUUUGCAACUGCUGCAUAACGUUACUUUCCUAUAGACACCGUUUUGGGAAGCAUGUGCAGAAAACAUAAGUAUUACGAUUAGGAUAGACCUUAGUUUAUCCCUAGUGGAGAAAUUCCAUUGUUGCAGCAGUACAACAGAAAUGAAUACAGGCAGAAAAGCAAUAGCUUCUCCAGAUUGAUACCUCUCAUGACCCUACAUUAAAUAUGGAGCUAGAGCCACGAGUCACUUAGUUUAGCAUAAAGACUGGAAGCACACAAACCGAUUUUUUUAUAGUUGCUGAAAGGUUUUGUGUCUCUAGGUUCUAGAUGCAGGGAAAAUUCAUGCCUAUGAUGAGCCUUAUACCCUGCUUCAAGAUCCAGAUGACAUCUUUUAUAAAAUGGUUCAGCAGACCGGCAAGCAGGAGGCAGCAGCUCUACUAGAGGCAGCUAAACA